CACUCCUACUAUAUAGAAUAUAAAUUUAUCAAAAAAAAGGAAUAAAAUAAAAAAUAAAAUUCUAUGAGGCCAAAUAGGCUGUGUUUUGAACAAGGCUUUUCAAAUCCGACCGGUCGGUUCAACUGAUUGGACUGCGAAUUGGGUGCUUGUCCGGUUCAGAUAUCACGCAAAACCGUCCAGGCAUCAAACCGAAGUAAAACCGGUGGAACCCAUCCCGAACCGGCUAAACUGGUCAAAAUCGGGGGUUUUACCGGUUGGCACGGUUAAGUGGAAAUCAAAUAAUCUUCCUCUUUCCUUCUUCAGUUGGCAAGGUUACAGAAACGCCCUAAAUUGGAAACGCUUUGAUAUGUUUUACGUUCCUUCACUAUGCACGGCGGAAUGUAACAUCUUCUCCGGCGAGUUUCU
rnacentral:lncRNA from 1 species